UGGUGAAUCAUGCAUGUUAAAGGUUUUCAAUUAAGUGAACCCUUGCUAGGUCAUGGAGACAAGAUUUCCUGUAAUCUGGCGCUUUUAGACGAUUUUACUGAUUGGUGAAUUAGUGAGACUUGGUCAUAUCGCAGAGAUAUUAUGUGGCAAGGAGGUCAUCAAUGGUGUGAUCAUUUGUCAACCAUGUUUAGGGCUGUCAACCAAUGACUAGUAAUUAGUUUGCACCAACAACUGGGACACCCUCUGAUGUUCUGACGAUUGAUCUAAAACAUGCCCCCUAGAGCACAAAUCAGAUUUCAGGCUGUUAAAAUUGUUCAAAAAAUAAAGAUGAUCAAAUGGGAGAUGACUCUCCCCAAUCUUCAACAGUCCAAUGAUUUGUCAAUUUGUCAGGGGGUUGAAGGUCUGCCACUAAAUCAGCAGGGUGUAUGUAAUGGACAGGGGGCUAUCAUGGCCAACACUUUGGCUGCUGCAGAUGUGGUCAGUGAUGAGGGGAUGAGGGGUAAGGUCAGACACGGAAUCCUCUAAUCUGCCAGGUGAUGGACAGCUCAAUAAAUCGACUCACUUUGUCUCUCAGGAGAGAUGUCUGAAAUCUCUGCCUGCCAAACCUCUAGAUAUCCCACAGCAACACAUAGGCCGGAUAGGGAAUUGUAUUGACCAAGGAGAAAUUGUCAUUCUGACCAAAGCACAUCAUUUGCAUGAAAAAAGGGAAAGAGGGAGGGAAAACGCAGAUGUUCUUUGACAUUCUGGAGUGGAGCAGUCAGUAUUGCAGAUGAAAAAACAAGAAACUGGAAGAUGAGACCCAAAGAAAGCUUAUUCAGUUUUCGUCCCUUUCCAGUAUCCUCUUGGUCUCACCUGAAAGUGUUGUGGUACCAGUCAAACAGUAGGUCUGGAUUGCCUGUGAUUUGACACUUCAGUAGAACCUC